rnacentral:lncRNA from 1 species
CUUUUACAAACCUUUUAAGACUCAAUAUAGCCGUGUUUUCACCGAUCCGCACAUAAUCAUCAACGGAAUCUGCUAAAACACCAUCGGCAAGCAUCCAUAUUGAGGCAGUUAUCUUUUUGUAGAGAAGAUAAGCCGAGUUGUCUUGCAACAUUUAUUUUUUAGACGAAGUAUGAAUCAUACACUUCAACUGCUCUUUGAAUUCGGAGGAAAGCGGGCGCCACAUUCUAA